rnacentral:rRNA from 1 species
UACGAAGGGGGCGAGCGUUGUUCGGAUUUACUGGGCGUAAAGCGUGCGCAGGCGGUUCGCUAAGACCGAUGUGAAAUCCCCGGGCUUAACCUGGGAACUGCAUUGGUGACUGGCGGGCUAGAGUAUGGCAGAGGGGGGUAGAAUUCCACGUGUAGCAGUGAAAUGCGUAGAGAUGUGGAGGAAUACCGAUGGCGAAGGCAGCCCCCUGGGCCAAUACUGACGCUCAUGCACGAAAGCGUGGGGAGCAAACAGG